UAGCAUCAGAACUCAGGAACUACGUAUGCACACCACAGGGCCCUUGUGGGUACUGAACUUGGAGCGUCAGGCAGCACAACUCACAUUUGUGCAGAGAGCUACAUGCCACAUGCUGUUCUCCAGCUUGCUGUGCAUAUUUGUGGCCUUCAGCUACUCUGGAUCCAGCGUGGCCCAGAAGGUUACUCAAGCCCAGUCAUCAGUAUCCAUGCCAGUAGGGAAAGCAGUCACCCUGAACUGCCAGUAUGAAACAAGUUCGUGGUCAUAUUACCUUUUUUGGUACGAGCAACUUCCCGGCAAAGAGAUGAUUUUCCUUAUUCGCCAGGGUUCUUCUGAACAGAAUGCAAGAAAUGGUCGCUAUUCUGUCAACUUCAAGAAAGAAGCUAGCUCCAUCGCCUUAACCAUUUCAGCCUUACAGCUAGAAGACUCAGCAAUGUACUUCUGUGCUCUCUGGGAACUCACAGUGUUUGAAGUGAUAGUAAAAGCAAAACAAAAACCCUAGGGCUCGAAAAGAGAACCCUCUACUCCGCAUCCUUUGCUACAGGAGCCGAUUUGAAGUGCACACCUGCAGAUCUCAGGCAAGAGAGGGUAGUGACUGUGGUCUGUGGAUUUAAUCUGUGGUCUGGAUCAGAUGAGUUAAUUCUAAGUAAAACCUCCUUCUAUCUCAUUUGGAAACAGGUGUUCAGAGCAACUUUCUUCUAAUACUUAAAUUUUUACUGAAAAUAGAUCAGACGGAAAACGUGUAAAGUUGUCUAAAGUUGGAAACACUUCCACAUAAUAACUUAAAGUGGCAGUUUCACUUAACGAUGCUCACAGCAGAAAUAUGGGUCUAGUUAUCUUGAAUCAUAAUAAAAAUCAUUUCCUUAGCCCUUUCCUCUUAGGCUUUAUGUCAAUUAGGGUACAAUCAGGGAAGCAGAACCAUCAUGAAAGAUGUAGAAUAAGAGUAAUUAUAAGGAUUAGACCUCAUGCAAUUGCUGGAGCUGGUGGUUCUCAGGAGUUACUUAGUUUUUUAUGUUUUUAUGAAAUUAUAACAGGAAUAAAAUGUAAUAUUUUCAAAA